GCAAGUCGAACGAUAUAGUGGCAGACGGGUGAGUAACGCGUGGGAAUCUACCCAGUACUACGGAAUAACACAGAGAAAUUUGUGCUAAUACCGUAUACGCCCUUCGGGGGAAAGAUUUAUCGGUAUUGGAUGAGCCCGCGUUGGAUUAGCUUGUUGGUGGGGUAAUGGCCUACCAAGGCGACGAUCUAUAGCUGGUCUGAGAGGAUGAUC
rnacentral:rRNA from 1 species